CUCCGGAACAGCCUGUAAAGAAGGGCACACCCGUCUCUGUCGCAAAAGAGUGGGAAGAUUCCUGAGUAGAGGCGAUAAACCUACCGAACCCGGUUAUAGCUGGUUGUCUGGGAUAUGAAUAGGAGUUCAGCCCCCCGGGCCCACAGUCCAACAAAUACACAAGGGCCCCCACAGACCCGGGGGAGUUAUUCAGAGGGGGUACAGCUCCUCUGAUAACAAGAUACAACUUUAAAAGGCGAGUAAGGAUCAUAACUUAAUAUAAGGCCUCGUGCUGUAGUAGGCCUGAAAGCAGCCACCUAUGCAGAUAGCGUUAAAGCUCAAGCACAUUUAACCCAUCCAUGCCGAUAACUCAAUCCCAACCCCCUAACCCUACCAGACCAUUAUGUACUCUUACAUAAGUGAUUCUGCUAAUAUGAGUAAUAAGGGGCUCCAAACGGCCCCCUCCUGGCACACGUGUACAGCGAAACGAACCCUCAUCGCCAACUAACGACGCCAAUACAAGAGGCAACUGGGCCGCGAAUUAAACACUUAAAAGACCGCCCAGUAUACACACGUUGACCCCACACCGGAGUGCACCAAGGAAAGACUUAAUGAAGAAAAAGGAACUCGGCAAACUAGGGCCUCGCCUGUUUACCAAAAACAUCGCCUCCCGCGCACAUGAUAUGGGAGGUCCCGCCUGCCCCGUGACUAUACGUUUAACGGCCGCGGUAUUUUAACCGUGCAAAGGUAGCGCAAUCACUUGUCUCUUAAUUGGGGACCCGUAUGAAUGGCAUAACGAGGGCCCACCUGUCUCUUUCUUCGAGUCAAUGAAAUUGAUCUUCCCGUGCAAAAGCGGGCAUAAACACACGGGACGAGAAGACCCUGUGGAGCUUGAAACAAUUGGGGAUUCAGAUCAAACACCCCUCCCAAGGGGACUAGCACGCUGAUCAUUCCUCAUAUGUUUUCGGUUGGGGCGACCAAGGGAUACAACGGAACUCCCACGUGGAUUGGAGUAUACUCCACAGCCAAGACCCGCUCGUUUAAGCACCAGAAUAUCUGACCUAUGGAUCCGGCAAAGCCGAUCAACGAACCAAGUUACCCCAGGGAUAACAGCGCAAUCCUCUUUUAGAGCCCUUAUCGACGAGGGGGUUUACGACCUCGAUGUUGGAUCGGGACUCCCUAAUGGUGCAGCCGCUAUU
rnacentral:rRNA from 1 species